AGUGAACGCUGGCGGCAGGCCUAACACAUGCAAGUCGAACGGCAGCACAGCAGUAGCAAUACUGUGGGUGGCGAGUGGCGGACGGGUGAGGAAUACAUCGGAAUCUGCCUAGUCGUGGGGGAUAACGUAGGGAAACUUACGCUAAUACCGCAUACGACCUACGGGUGAAAGCGGGGGAUCGCAAGACCUCGCGCGAUUAGAUGAGCCGAUGUCCGAUUAGCUAGUUGGCGGGGUAAUGGCCCACCAAGGCGACGAUCGGUAGCUGGUCUGAGAGGAUGAUCAGCCACACUGGAACUGAGACACGGUCCAGACUCCUACGGGAGGCAGCAGUGGGGAAUAUUGGACAAUGGGCGCAAGCCUGAUCCAGCCAUGCCGCGUGGGUGAAGAAGGCCUC
rnacentral:rRNA from 1 species